CAGCCACAUCACAUAGAAGCACCAGUUUCCAUAUGAUCACCAAAGUUAAACAAUAUUGAACCUGGUCAGUACCUAGAUGGGUAACCACUUGAGAAUACCAGGUGUUGUAAG